AUUCAAGCCUAACUUGAGCUUUACUCAGGCAAAGCUAUUUGAAGUAAGAAGCGUCUGUAAUUUACUUGUCCAUCAGCUCUAUUCAUGAAAGCAACAAAGCCACAAUUUCUCUUCCGUCUCCGUUCUUCUGUUCGUGGCCUCAUUAUUUUCACACUGGCAAUGUGUCCAAACCUCCCAAAUGUUGUCAAAAGAAAGUUCUCGUCCACCUAACAACAUAAGCAGAGUGACAACAUGAAAAUAUAUGUAAUAUUACUAUUUGAAGACAGAAAAAGGAUACCAACCUUGGGAGAGAGAUUCCCAACAUAUAAAUUUGUUGUUUGUGGAUCUCCAUCAUCAAAUGAACCUGGAAACUUGCCGCUAGGAUCAAAAUCUUCUGGCAACUCAUCAAAAUGGCUAACAGGCUGAAGAAAAUAGUCAACCCAAUCAAGCAUGAUACCCAUAUACACAACACAAUGUAACAUGUAAUAUGAACUAUACAAAUAUAUGUCCAAUAUUCAUAAUGAAUCCUCCACUAGACCAACUCGCCCUGUAUUUAUUGCUUUCUUUAUAUUAAUCUUGACCUACACAUGUUUGUGAUUAAUAAAACAAAAAAGAAAAUUUUGUUUUUUUUA